rnacentral:lncRNA from 10 species
CCAUGCCCAGCCAAUUUUCAGCCUUUAGAGCAAGAAAUCCUAACAAGCCUAUGCCCAUUAAUCAUAAAUCUGCCCCACUUAGGGCACUGGAUGUGUGGCUGUACAGACUGAGUUUUACCCAUCUUUAUAAAUGAUGCUACACUACUAAACUGUGAUGCAUUGGACAUCUCUCAUUUUUCUGUGGCUGACCAGCAUGCAAACAUUCUUUAUAUUUGGGGCACUCCAUCACUGUGAGAGUCUUAGGACCUUCUUUCCCACCGUGGAGCAUAAGGGGGCCACAUACUUGGUCUCCCAACCCCUCACAGCUAGGGUGGCGUGUGAUCUGGCCAAUGAGAUUCUCCUUUUGGGAACUGUGAAUCUUGAUCAAGUGGUGCAAAGACAGAGACACGUUAAAAUUCAUCUUGGUGGUCGAGUUUCUAGAGACUGGUAGUACCUAGCAAUCAUGGUGGAACCAGUGACAGUAUCCUUUUUAUUCCGUGGUACCUGAAAUCCUUACAAUAAAUUCUUCCGCUU